rnacentral:tRNA from 1 species
GCUGAAGUAGCAUAGAAACAGUGGAUUCAAAAUCCAUUGGGGUAAAACCCGUGCCGGUUCGAGUCCGGCCCUCGGCACCC